rnacentral:lncRNA from 1 species
AUAUAGGGUAUAGGGACGACCCACUUCACCCUCAUACCGGACGGGAUAUUGAGGUUUGGUAAUUUAGCACUCAUACCGAACGGGGUAUGGGGAUGACUUGUACUUGAGAAUGUUAAAGAAAAAGGUUCACGUGUAGCGGGGACAUCUCUAUGAACCCCCAUGGAUACCAGGAGGCUGGUGAAAAAAAGGAUAAUUGUUGUUUGAUGAUUUGAAUAUGAAAGUAUGAUAGGUGCUAUGUUACCAAUUAUAUACAGAAUCAUGAUAUAUAUAAUGUUA